UAUGUGGUUUAAUUCGAUGCAACGCGAAGAACCUUACCUGGUCUUGACAUCCCGGAGACCCUUAGGAAACUAGGGGUGCUUCCAUCUGGAAGAAUCUGGAGACAGGUGCUGCAUGGCUGUCGCCAGCUCGUGUCGUGAGAUGUUGGGUUAAGUCCCGCAACGAGCGCAACCCUUGCCUUUAGUUGCCAGCAGUUCGGCUGGGCACUCUAAAGGGACUGCCGGUGUUAAACCGGAGGAAGGUGGGGAUGACGUCAAGUCCUCAUGGCCUUUAUGACCAGGGCUACACACGUACUACAAUGGCCGAUACAAAGGGCAGCGACACUGCGAGGUGAAGCCAAUCCCGUAAAAUCGGUCUCAGUCCGGAUUGGAGUCUGCAACUCGACUCCAUGAAGUUGGAAUCGCUAGUAAUCGUGGAUCAGCAUGCCACGGUGAAUACGUUCCCGGGCCUU
rnacentral:rRNA from 1 species